rnacentral:rRNA from 1 species
UACGUAGGUGGCAAGCGUUGUCCGGAAUUAUUGGGCGUAAAGCGCGCGCAGGCGGUCCCUUAAGUCUGAUGUGAAAGCCCACGGCUCAACCGUGGAGGGUCAUUGGAAGCUGGGGGACUUGAGUACAGAAGAGGAAAGUGGAAUUCCACGUGUAGCGGUGAAAUGCGUAGAGAUGUGGAGGAACACCAGUGGCGAAGGCGACUUUCUGGUCUGUAACUGACGCUGAGGCGCGAAAGCGUGGGGAGCAAACAGG